UUUGGUAAAGAAAAUAAAUUUCAGGACGCAAAUAAGAAUUGUUUUAACUGCCUGUUAAGGGUCAGGAGGUUUUCAAUACUUGAAUCAAUUCAUUUUAAAAAAUUUUUAUUCGAGAUUGUUUUACAUGAACUUUAAUUGAUGGAAGAACAACAAAACUAUUCUCAAAUAUGUCUACAGAAUUUCUGUACUGAAACGAACAAGGUUACGAAUGCCUGCAGUGCACAGUGGCUUAUGUUUUAUACGUUUGCAGCACACCUUCCAGAAACCUUAAAUUCGAUGCACCAAGAUCUUGUCAAAAAAUUUUAUAUGAAUUUCCCUGACCAGUGUACUAAAGGGCCCUACGCUUAUUGUUUUUCUAAUUCGAAGGCUUCGUUCCCUCCACAAGUGACUUCUCGAAGAGAACUUUUAUUAUGGUUGUGUUCUGUGGAGAAUAUUUGUCGAUGCGCAGCGAAUUUCCCAACACGGCGAUGCACCUUUGAUAGUUUAAUGAAGCGCUGGAAAACGUCAUCUGAAGAAAUGCACAAUGAAACGUUGUCUAUAAAAUCCUCAAAGUCAUAAGCACUAUUGAUCGUUACAUCAACGAGCACACAGUCCUUGCUACGUCUUGAUGUAUUAUACAGCGUCACCACUACAUUAAAGCUGCUUGUAUUUAUUUCUAAAAGAAUUCUUUUUAAAAAAAUAAUUUCUUCGCUCAUUCCACUAGUGCAGCUUUUACUGUUCUAUUGAAAAAGUACACAUAUCGUAACAACUUGUAAUUUUGGCGGAAUUUAUGUUCACCAUAUUUUUUUUAAAAACUCUUAUAGUGACAUAUCAAUUAUAAAAAAGCUUUUGUGCACAAUAAUUUUUUAUUUGAAGCUGUCUCUAUUCUUUUUGUGUGCUUCCAACUAUUACAAGAUUCACGUCUCUAGUCUGACGAGUUUUCUCAAAACAGUUAGUUGCUUACCAGUAACAACUCUUAAAAGCCAACGCACAAAACGCUAUACAAUAGCUCACUGUUCAUUUCAUCUGGUAUUGGUUUUCCAAUUAUCUGAUAAUAGACUAUAUGGAUGGAGUGACCAAAGAUAAAAUAGUUAUAACAUUGCACCUUAAUGACAUCUAUUUCGGAAGUAUUUAUACGAAGAAGCAAUCUAAAGUUGAUAUAUAUUUUUUUUUAUAUAAGAUAAAGGAAGAAAGUU